rnacentral:rRNA from 1 species
CCAGCUCCAAUAGCGUAUAUUUAAGUUGUUGCAGUUAAAAAGCUCGUAGUUGGAUUUCGGGCGUGAGUGAUCGGUCUGCCGUUUUGGUUGAACUGUUCUGCUCUUGCCUUCUUGCCGGGGACGUGUCCUGGCCUUCAUUGGCUGGGGCUCGGAGUCGGCGAUGUUACUUUGAAAAAAUUAGAGUGUUCAAAGCAGGCCUACGCUCUGAAUACAUUAGCAUGGAAUAACGCUAUAGGACUCGGGUCCUAUUGUGUUGGUUUUCAGGACCGGAGUAAUGAUUAAUAGGGACAGUUGGGGGCAUUCGUAUUUCAUUGUCAGAGGUGAAAUUCUUGGAUUUAUGAAAGACGAACUUCUGCGAAAGCAUUUGCCAAGGAUGUUUUCA